CCGAGUUUACAACUCCCAAACCCCAAUGUGAACGUUACCAAUCUGUUGCCUCGGCGGGAUUCUCUGCCCCGGGCGCGUCGCAGCCCCGGAUCCCAUGGCGCCCGCCGGAGGACCAACUCAAACUCUUUUUUCUCUCCGUCGCGGCUUCCGUCGCGGCUCUGUUUUACCUUUGCUCUGAGCCUUUCUCGGCGACCCUAGCGGGCGUCUCGAAAAUGAAUCA
rnacentral:rRNA from 1 species